AGUAACGCGUGGGUAACCUGCCUCAUACAGGGGGAGUAACAUUAGAAAUGACUGCUAAUACCGCAUAAGCGCACAGUGCUGCAUGGCACAGUGUGAAAAACUCCGGUGGUAUGAGAUGGACCCGCGUCUGAUUAGCUAGUUGGUGGGGCAACGGCCUACCAAGGCGACGAUCAGUAGCCGGCCUGAGAGGGUGAACGGCCACAUUGGGACUGAGACACGGCCCAAACUCCUACGGGAGGCAGCAUG
rnacentral:rRNA from 1 species